CCGGGAAGCGCGGAAUUCAGGCUAAGAGGGGCUUAGCCGGAGCUUUUCCACGGCAGGAGCGGCCGGGAGUCACGCAGGCUGCUCCACACCCGCCUUUGGGGCUCUUUUAACCCAAAUUCGCGGAGCCGGGGGUCCUCGCGGGUCAGCGGGAAUCGCUGAUCCCACGGGAUUUCCGCGCCGAGGGCCUGGGGAUGGCGUCGUUCCCCUCGGGAAGGAGGUCUGGGGGCAGUUUGGGAUAUUGUCCCCUGGGAUCCCCGUCUCCAUCCUCCCCGAGGCUCCAGGGAUGGAAUUGUUCCUCCUGGGAAGUUAUUUUGAGGAAAAUCUGGGAUAUUUUCCCAUGGGAUCCCUGUCUCCAUCCUCCCCAAGGCUCCAGGGAUGGAAUUAUUCCCCUCAGAGUGUUUUUUUGGGGGGUAAUCCGAGAUAUUUUCCCUUGGGAUCCCCAUUUCCGUUCUCUCCAAAGCUCUGGGGACAGAGUUGUUCCUCCUGAGAAGUUAUUUUGGGGAAAAUCUGGGAUAUUUUCCCAUGGGAUCCCCGUCUCCAUCCUCCCCGAGGCUCCAGGGAUGGAAUUGUUCCUCCUGGGAAGGCACUUCAGGGAAAAUCUGGGAUAUUUUCCCAUGGGAUCCCCGUCUCCAUCCUCCCCAAGGCUCCAGGGAUGGAAUUAUUCCCCUCAGGGAGUUUUUUUUCGGGAUAUUUUCCCCUUGGAUCCCCAUCUCCAUCCUCACUGGGACUCUGGGGAUGGGAUUUUUCCCUCAGGGAGGAAUUUUGGGGACAAUUAUCCCCCGGGAUCCCCGUUCCCAUCCUCACCGGGACUCCGGGCAUGGCGCUUGGGGGAAAUCUGGGAUAUGACAACACUUCUCCAUCCUUUCCUCCACACCCCUUCCCACCACCACCCUCAGUCCCGGGAUACUCCCGGAAUUCCCCGGGAUACCCCGGGGGUCACCUCUGUCACCGCCACCCCAGCAGGGAAGGAAAUUUUCCCUCUUUUUCCCUCUUUUCCCAUUCCCGCCCUUCCAGGAUGGGAUUUUCCCCCCGCCAGCACCCAAAGCCCCUCCAGGGGACACGGGUGGGACACGGGUGGGACACGGGUGGGACACGGGGGGAUCGUCCUGGAGGUGGCAGUGGGGACUUUGGGGAUGUUCUGUCACCUUUCCAGAGCGGGCAAAUCCAUGGAUUUCUGAUCCUUCCGCUGCACGUGCGUGAGAUUCCGUGGAAUUCCAGAAACAUCCGUCGGAGAGGAGGCCCGGGGGCGCUUCCUGGUGAUUCCAGGGAGGAAUUUCUGCAUCUUCCUCAUCCCGGGGCGCCCGGGUCCCGCCGGGAAGGGCUCAGCUCCUGGAGAGAGAAAUAAAGGAUUGCUGGAAGCUCGGGAUUGUCCGGGA
rnacentral:lncRNA from 1 species